GGGGUUAUAGUUUAAAUAAAACAUUUAAUUUGCAAUUAAAAACUACUAUUUUAUAGUUUACCUCA
rnacentral:tRNA from 1 species